CGCAGGGCCACCCCCCGUGAAAAGUUGCUCCUCCCAUGGUGCCCCCCCAUUAAUUCAUUGUGGCUGCUGGGGGCGAUGGGAGUUGUAGUCCCAAAUUUGAGAACUUCUGCAUUACUGUUACAGGCGGCUCCAAAGGGCAGCAAGGGAGGGGGGCAAGUCCCCCCCACCCCAUUCUUUCAGAAAUCAAACAUGUGGGACAACUCACCCACUUUGCACCUUAUGGUCCGUCCCCCCCCCAUUUUUUCUGGUGCCACCACUGGCCCCGGGUGUCACCCCCCCAGGACUGUCCUAGUAGAAACUCCAGGAAUCGCAUCUGUCUCCUGGAGAGUCCUGACUGUAACCACUGAGAUAUGAAGGACCUGACCGCGUGAAAACACCUUGGGGGGCGGGGGGACUCUAGACCUUCCCAGCCUGGCGCUGCUUCCCCUUGCUUACCAAGGGAAAGGCCAAGCCUGAUGCCAUCUACAGGAGAUGAGUGGUGGAUGAGAAGAGAAGGCAAGUUUUCUUGCACAGAAGUGUGCAGAUGAGUCCAAAACUAAAGCCUGCAGAUGCCCAAGGUGUAAAGCGGUGGGCAUUGGCCAACUGACCCAAUGGAUAUUGAGGCUAUGGAAGCUGGUGGACAUCCUCAUUAAGAAGACGCUAGGUUCUGUAGUAAAGCUGAUGAAGAAGAAAUGGGCUAAUGUUUGUGAAUGAAAGCUGGUGGAAGUUCCUCUUCGUAAACCUGUCAACAGAAGCUGGGGAGUGCAUGUAAAUGCCCACACUAACCCCCACCCCACUGCUUCUAAAACCCAAAUAACCCCCCUGACUCUUUUAAAAAACAAACUGAAACCCAAACUGCCCCCUUGCCCCUUCUAAGCUCCAAAUUGGCCCCCCACGCCUUCCAAACCCAUAACUGGACUCUUGUAGUGUAAUAGCAGUAAUUAGCUUACAAAACCACCCACCUACAUACGUGUGUGUGUGUGUGUACACACACACACACAGAGACACAAAGAGUUAGGGUGCCAAUGGAUCAGGAAAAACCCAGUAUGGGUUGCUCCUGUGCUUAAAAGGACAUAUUGAUGUGCAGGAGAGAUAUUCAGAACACAGAGGUAAAGAUUAGUAAGGUCUGCAGACUAAGCCACUGUUCAGUUUUUUAAAUUGAUUCAUUAAAUACAUGCAUACCCCACCUUUACAAGUGUCUGUAUACCCAUUCAUGUAUUUGUAUGAAUGUCUGUUCCUGUGUUCAUCCUGAAAGUGAGGUGAAACAAAAGAGGGAAAUCCUUGAAUGCCUCUGAACAGAACUUUAUUACUGGCUCAAUGCAUUUCAGCAAAGCCUUCAUCAAGGCUUCUUAUUCCAAGUGUUAGAAGAGGUGUAAACAAAAGACUUAUACUGCUCCUUGUAGCGGAGCUCUGUUACCAGUUAACUGGGGUACAAACCCCUUCAAAUAAAUGGUACAGAUAGGAAGUGUACUGCUGCACCUGCAUUCACAAUAAAGUGUGAAUAACUCUA